UGCUGUUUCGCUGACGAGUGGCGGACGGGUGAGUAAUGUCUGGGAAACUGCCUGAUGGAGGGGGAUAACUACUGGAAACGGUAGCUAAUACCGCAUAACGUCGCAAGACCAAAGAGGGGGACCUUCGGGCCUCUUGCCAUCGGAUGUGCCCAGAUGGGAUUAGCUAGUAGGUGGGGUAACGGCUCACCUAGGCGACGAUCCCUAGCUGGUCUGAGAGGAUGACCAGCCACACUGGAACUGAGACACGGUCCAGACUCCUACGGGAGGCAGCAGUGGGGAAUAUUGCACAAUGGGCGCAAGCCUGAUGCAGCCAUGCCGCGUGUAUGAAGAAGGCCUUCGGGUUGUAAAGUACUUUCAGCGGGGAGGAAGGGAGUAAAGUUAAUACCUUUGCUCAUUGACGUUACCCGCAGAAGAAGCACCGGCUAACUCCGUGCCAGCAGCCGCGGUAAUACGGAGGGUGCAAGCGUUAAUCGGAAUUACUGGGCGUAAAGCGCACGCAGGCGGUUUGUUAAGUCAGAUGUGAAAUCCCCGGGCUCAACCUGGGAACUGCAUCUGAUACUGGCAAGCUUGAGUCUCGUAGAGGGGGGUAGAAUUCCAGGUGUAGCGGUGAAAUGCGUAGAGAUCUGGAGGAAUACCGGUGGCGAAGGCGGCCCCCUGGACGAAGACUGACGCUCAGGUGCGAAAGCGUGGGGAGCAAACAGGAUUA
rnacentral:rRNA from 1 species